GAUGAACGCUGACAGAAUGCUUAACACAUGCAAGUCUACUUGAACUUCGGUUUGGGUGGCGGACGGGUGAGUAACGCGUAAAGAACUUGCCUCACAGAUAGGGACAACAUUUGGAAACGAAUGCUAAUACCUGAUAUUAUGAUUUUAGGGCAUCCUAGAAUUAUGAAAGCUAUAUGCACUGUGAGAGAGCUUUGCGUCCCAUUAGCUAGUUGGAGAGGUAACGGCUCACCAGGGCGAUGAUGGGUAGCCGGCCUGAGAGGGUGAUCGGCCACAAGGGGACUGAGACACGGCCCUUACUCCUACGGGAGGCAGCAGUGGGGAAUAUUGGACAAUGGACCAAGAGUCUGAUCCAGCAAUUCUGUGUGCACGAUGAAGUUUUUCGGAAUGUAAAGUGCUUUCAGUUGGGAAGAAAAAAAUGACGGUACCAACAGAAGAAGUGACGGCUAAAUACGUG
rnacentral:rRNA from 1 species